AUGUUUAGCACGUGGUAUUUGUUUGUUAUGUACUUAGUGCUAAAAGUAUAUAUGAUGGGGUAAUACGCAAUCGUUGCUCUACAUUAUAGACGGUAGUACUAUCGCUCUCACUCUAUCUUCCACCAUUAACACCUCUCUCUCUAUAUCUAUCUCUUUUGUGGACCAGUCUUUACUCUCUCCAGCUUGGAAUUACAAAGAUCUUGAUAGCAUGGAGUACUCAAUCAAGGAUGACGUGACUCAAUUGAUAGGUAACACUCCAAUGGUGUACCUAAACAACAUUGUAGAUGGUUGCGUUGCACGUAUCGCUGCUAAGCUUGAGAUGAUGCAGCCUUGCUCUAGUGUCAAGGACAGAAUUGCUUAUGGAAUGAUUAAAGAUGCAGAAGAACAAGGGACUCAUUUCUCCCGGCAAGGGAACAUAUUGUGAGCCAACAUCUGGUAACACCGGGAUUGGUAUAGCAAUGGUCGGAGCAGCUAGAGGUUACAAAGUUGUGAUUACAAUGCCUGCAUCAGUGAGCAUUGAGAGAAGAAUCGUACUUCUAGCAUUAGGUGCAGAGCUUCACCUCACUGAUCCAAGCAAAGGCGUUAUAGGAGUCAUUGUCAAAGCUGAAGAGAUAUUAAGCAAAACUCCAGAUGGUUUCAUGCUAGAGCAAUUCAGAAACCCUUCAAACCCACAAUCUCAUUAUGACACCACUGGUCCAGAGAUAUGGAGAGACUCUGCAGAGAAAGUAGAUAUGUUGGUUGUUGGUGUUGGGACUGGUGGAACGAUCUCUGGAGCAGGGAAGUUUCUCAAGAAGAAGAAGAAUAAAGACUUUAAGUUUUAUGGGGUGGAACCUGCAGAGAGUGCUGUACUCAGUGGAGGGCAACCUGGUCCACAUGGGAUCCAAGGUAUUGGAGCUGGACUCAUCCCAGACAACUUGGAUUUUAGCGUUCUUGAUGAAGUCAUUCAAGUGACAAGUGUGGAAGCAAUUGAAACAGCCAAACUUCUUGCCCUGAAAGAAGGAUUAUUGGUUGGAAUAUCAUCCGGAGCUGCUGCGGCCGCUGCUAUAAAAGUGGCAAAACGGCCAGAAAACGCUGGGAAGCUCAUAGUUGUGGUUUUCCCGAGUGGCGGGGAACGUUACUUAUCGACUCCAAUGUUCGACUCGAUCAGAUGUGAAGCAGAGAAUUUGGCAAUAGAAUGAGAGAGACUUAUCAUCCACUACUACUACUACUACUUAAUUCGGUUCGGUUAUGUAAUAAAGUAUCAAGAUACCGGUUUUCUCAUUUUUGACAACACAUAAGAAGUGUUGUUUGAUUUGAAAUGACGUAAUAUUGCUUCCAGAAUAAAUUAAGAAAAUUCUAGACA